GUAGUCAUGGCCGAGUGGUGAAGGCGACGGACUUGAAAUCCGUUGGGGUUUCCCCGCUCAGGUUCGAAUCCUGCUGGCUACG